rnacentral:rRNA from 1 species
GACGAACGCUGGCGGCGUGCCUAACACAUGCAAGUGGAGCGACGAACCGGGUCUUGCCCCGGGGCAGAGCCGCGCACGGGUGAGUAACACGUGGGUGACCUGCCCCGUUGACUUGGACAACCCGCCGAAAGACGGGCUCUUACCGGAUGUGCCCCUAGGGGGAAAGGAAGCUUCUGCCUCCGCAUCGGGAUUGGCCCGUGGCGCAUUAGCAUGAUGGUGGGGUAAUGGCCUAGCACGGCGACGAUGCGUAGCUGGUGUGAGAGGACGAUCAGCGACACUGGAACUGGGACACGGCCAAGACUCCUGCGGGAGGCAGCAGUGGGGAAUCGUGCACAGAGGGCGGAAGCGUGAUGCAGCAACGCCGCGUGCGAGAAGGAGGCCUUAGGGUUGUAAACCGCUUUCAGUUGGGACGAAGCUUUGAUGGUGGAUAGCGGUUUGGAGUGACGGUACCUUCAGAAGAAGCGCCGGCUAACUACGUG